ACCCAACCGAUGAAUUCCAAAUAGGACGAAACGUGCAUCUUGGAU
rfam:Schistosoma rodhaini strain Burundi genome assembly, scaffold: SROB_scaffold0010084